rnacentral:rRNA from 1 species
GGUUACUGCUAUCGGGGUCCGACUAAGCCAUGCGAGUUGAGAGGGGUAAGCCCUCGGCAUACUGCUCAGUAACACGCGGAUAACCUGCCCUUGGGUCCGGGAUAACCCCGGGAAACUGGGACUAAUACCGGAUAGAUCAGAGAAACUGGAAUGUUCUCUGGUUCAAAACUCCGGUGCCCAAGGAUGGGUCUGCGGCCUAUCAGGUAGUAGUGGGUGUAACGUACCUACUAGCCAGCGACGGGUAAGGGUUGUGAGAGCAAGAUCCCUGAGAUGGAUUCUGAGACAUGAAUCCAGGCCCUACGGGGUGCAGCAGGCGCGAAAACUUUACACUGCGGGAAACCGCGAUAAGGGGACCCCGAGUGCCAGCACCUAGUGCUGGCUGUCCUACUGUCUAAAUAACAGUGGUUAGCAAGGGCCGGGCAAGACCGGUGCCAGCCGCCGCGGUAACACCGGCGGCCCGAGUGGUAACCGUUUUUAUUGGGUUUAAAGGGUCCGUAGCCGGCUUACUAAGUCUCUUGGGAAAUCUGGCGGCUCAAUCGUCAGGCGGCCAAGAGAUACUGGUAGGCUUGGGACCGGGAGAGGUGGGAGGUACUCCAGGGGUAGGGGUGAAAUCUCGUAAUCCUUGGGGGACCACCGAUGGCGAAGGCAUCCCACCAGAACGGGUCCGACGGUGAGGGACGAAAGCUGGGGGCACGAACCGGAUUAGAUACCCGGGUAGUCCCAGCUGUAAACGAUGCUCGCUAGGUGUCAGGUGCGGUGCGACCGCAUCUGGUGCCGCAGCGAAAACUUGAAGCGAGUCACCUGGGAAGUACGGUCGCAAGGCUGAAACUUAAAGGAAUUGGCGGGGGAGCACUACAACGGGUGGAGCCUGCGGUUC